ACUCGAGAGCCUUGGGGUUCACUUUGUGCCACAGGCUGAGUUUGGGCUGGCGAACGCUCUUCUUGGGAGAGUGGAAUUUAAUUGGUGCCUUAUUAAGGAUGACUCCUGGGCCUCCUAAAGUGGAAACCACUCUAACUCCUAAAUGACGGGCAAACACAAACCUGAAUCACACCCCGGACUGCUUUGGCUAAUGGAGAUGCCUGGCAAGUACAAUAUGUUUGGGGCUUUCUUUCCAGUAUCAAAUGGUGGGUAAAAUGGGACAUUUGCCCAGUGAAAAUCAGGCCUAGAUGCAUGGGAACAGGCUUAGCUGCUGCUUGUGUCAACAAGAAGGCUUUUUGUCUGUGCGGAAGUGAAGAAAUGCAGCUCACUUACCGGUCUGGCCAAACUUCAAAAAUUCAUGUUUUUUUUUCCUCCUCCCAGGAACACUUUGUUCCUGCUGAUGGUUAAAAGGUGGCAGCUUUCAUUUAGAAGUGCAGCAGGACGUAUUGAAGUUAGAGAAAAGGAAGGGCUAUGUGACGGAAUGACUGAGUGCAGGACAGGUUCCCAGGGGAUUACAAAAUCUGCUUUUUAUUCAUGGGCUUUCCUGCUAAAUGACUGAAAUAAUGAGGGUGGCAAGAUGUAAGCUUAUAUCACCAUUUUUUAAAGAUCUGUGCUUUGGGAUUCAGAGAAAGUACGAGUGCCUUGUGACCAAGGGGACCUGAGGUGGCUUCAGAGGCUGAGCUGACCUUGGGAUUGGGGUCGGGCUUAGAAAGAGUGGGAAGGCAGUGCAGAGCAAGGCGGAGCAAAGGGCUGGGAAGGACAGAGCAGGUGGGGUGAUCUGGAAUGUGGCCCCUCUGAAGAGGGCCGCGCAGGAUGGUAUUGGCAGGCUAUGACAGGGCUAGAUUAUGGAGAGCCUGGAAAGCUUGUCCAGAGAAUUAGAUUUUACUCAACAAGCCAUGAGAUGCCAUCUUUCCAGGCCUUUGAGCAGGAACGGGAAAUGAUAGAAAGUGUGCUUCAGGGAUCGUGGGCUUUGAGCAACUGAAGGGGUUUUACAGUCAUGUGGUUCAGUGUUUCUCAGACUCUACUGGCGUGAGAAUCAUUGAGAAUACUUGUUAAAAUUCAGAUUCUCAUUUGAAAGUCCUGGUGGGUGGGGCUGGGAAUCUGCAGGUGAACAAAGCCACUGGCCAUCCUGAUACCCGUGGUCUGAGGCCCACACUGGGCAAACACUGCUACCCCUUCGGUGAGCCCUGUCCGAGGGACCCACAGGGUACCGCUGAGCAAAGGAAUCAGCCCUAAAACAAGUUUAGGCCCAGAGAGCUGGACGCUGACUUUGGACAAUGACAGUUGAGUAGGAAGCUCUGUGCCCCUUUUUCUUCCUCUCCCUACACUUCAAUCUUGGAGGACCCUAGAGCCUUGAAAGGCAGAAGGCCAAGGAAAGAAAGAAGUGGAGCACGCCCAGUGUGAUAUUCAGCCAGGACACCACUAUUUUUUGAGCAGCACACUGGCUUUUCAAGGGAAAAGCCCUGCCUUGUAGCAUUUACCCAUUUCCAUGGUGCAAAUACUCCUGGUGUGGCCAUCUCAGGCUGCCAAUGUGACUGAAUGCAGAGUUAGGAAGAGAAGCCCACAGUGGGCUCUUGUGAGCCAGGAGCCUGCUCCAGGAAACUACUGCCUGGAGCUGGAACUCAGACCCAAGCUGGGCUGGAGCGAAUGAUUUGAGUUGAGGACUGAGCUGCUGAACAGUGUAUACAGCUGGACUGUGUUUCAUUACUUAAAGUGACCAUAGGGCUCCCAGAACUUUGGGAGACCAAAGUGGGCCUCUUGAGCCCAGGAGUUCGAUACCAGCCCGGGCAACAUGGUGAAACCCCAUCUCUACAACAAAGACAAGAAUGAGCCGGCCUUGGUGGUGAGCGCCACCAGCAGUCCCAGCUACUUGGGAGGCUGAGGUGGGAGGGUCACCUGAGCCCGGGAAGUCAAGCCUGCAGUGAGUCUGCACCGAGUGAGACCUGGUCUCAAAAUAAGUAAGUAAAACUAAUGUGACCACAGGAAUUUCUGCUACUGCUCGAGUUUUCAUCCACUGGUAAAGAGAAAAAUGGAACAAAUAUCAGUUCAGGGAUAGUGAGAAACCAAAAGUAAAUUCACAUUUUGUUUACAUUCUAAGGAUGGUGCCCGUUACUGUGAGAAAUUAGACCCUGAAAACUGGUAAGAUUUUUUUAAAAAAAGAAUUACCAUCAAAGGGAAAUAUAAAACUGAAAAGUAUUUAUGAAAUCUGAGCCCCCAGAUUGAAAACCAAGAAUGUCAGGUAUUCUGUAGUUAAAAGAGUUUGUUUUGGAGUUUUCUUUGGCGUUCCAAAGCAGAUAUCCUCAAAAGAAAAGCAGCUGUCUGAUUAAAAAACAAAUGAAACUCUGUACUCUGUUCAAAGAUAGUACAGGAAGAACCAACCUUAUAGGUACUCUAUGAGGAUUAAAUAAACACACUUGAAUGUGUCUGAUACACAGAUUAAGUUUGCUGUCAAUUCUUCUGCUUUUUCUUCAGAGCCACAUUUCCCCCCCCCUUCUUUUUUUUAAGACAGAGUCUUACUCUGUCACCAAGGCUGGAGUGCAGUGACAUGAUCUCAGCUUGCCACAAGCUCCGCUUCUCGGGUUCAAGUGAUUUCCCCUGCCUCAGCCUGCCAAGUAGCUGGGAUCACAGGGGUGCAGCACCGCACCUAAUUUUUGAAUUUUUAGUAGAGAUGGGGUUUUGCCAUGUUAGCCAGGCUGGUCUCGAACUCCAGACCUCAGGUGAUCCACACGCCUCGGUCUUCCAAGGUGCUGGGAUUACAGGCGUGAGCCACAGACCAGCACACGUUCACUUUCAGUUAUGCCGGGUUAUGUUCACUCCCUGUUGGGGAGCUUCAUCGUGGUAAUGGGUGCAAGACAGAACAAUUCCUAUUUCCAGUCUAUUCCCGCCCCUCCUCUUUGGAGGAUGAAUGUCACCGGUGAACUUUAGCCUCAGCGGGAGAAGAACCUGCUAAGUCCCUGCGGCAGGUCGGGGACUGAGGAGUGAUCUUAGCUGUUAAAUGGGCUUCCAAGCGUCCUCCGCUAGCUGAACUCUUUGAAGCGUCCACACUUUGUCCCCAGACUUCCAUUAACACGGUUUCUGCUACUAAACACAAUCUGCGUGUAGCCUAAGCCACGGAGGACACCAGAACCACAGCUGCCCUCCGCCGCCAUCCCCGGGGCCUGAGGCUUCGCAUUUCCCACAUUCAAACAGCAGGCUGCGAAGGCACCGGCCGCUCCCCCGGGCCGCGGCUGGAACCACAGGAGUCCCCGUCCGUCCUGAGUGCGGGCAGGAAGAGACUUUCUCCGCGUCUCCCAGCCGCGACUGCAGACCGUCGCUGCCCGCCUGCGGCGACACAGUCCUGCCUUUAGCCACUGGGUCGUCAGGACCUGGAAUGUUCCAGGCUUCCGGGCAGUGCCCACUGCCGUUUCUUCGGAGGAAAAGAUCCACUUUCAAGGGCAGGGUGGUGCCUGCGGCCAGCCUGGACCAGCGCAGAGGGCAGGGACACAGCCGCAGGGCACUGCGCGUCCGCCGCACACACCCCGUGGGGACACGGCCGGGGCCGCGUGGCCUCCACCGCGCGCUGUGAUGACGCCGUCCUCACUGCCGCCGCCUCUGACGUUCAAACCCCUGCGCUUUUGGACUUUGCAGGAGCGCUUGUGAUCAACAGCUCAUCGAAUCUGGUGUCGACAUCGGUGUCGACGUGGUGUCUGGCGCCAGGAGACUGGAUGGGAUCACUAAAGGCGCGCGUCCAUUAAGAAGAAAGACUCAAGCGGCCGGGCAAGGAGAGAAACAGCAGACUGCGAGCCGGACCGGGUAAAAUGGCGGCAGGCUCUGCGCAGGCGCAGGCGCAGGCGCAGGAGCAGGUUUGACGCCUGCGGACGGACCGGAUAGAGCGGGCGAAAGCCGACUGAGGAGACUCAAUUUGUCUGGGCUUGCGUCUGCACUCGUCGUCUCCCACAUGGUCUAGCGGUUAGGAUUCCUGGUUUUCACCCAGGCGGCCCGGGUUCGACUCCCGGUGUGGGAACGCCAAGAUUUUAGAAUGCUGCUUAGAGAGACAGCCAUGGUAGAUGGGGGAGCAGUCAACAGAAUCUAUCCUGAUCUAAGAAAGCUUGCGAUUUUGCACCUCGUGUACUCAUUAAGAAAAUAAUCUAAGGUGGGGUAAGAACGGGACCCACUUCCCGGGGCUGUGAAGAUUGAAUGACAUGAUGCACGUGAAGGGCUAAGUUAAGGCCAGCACCAGCACCAGCACCAUCGUCAUCGUCACCGCGUGUUUAGUCCCUCCUUCUCCUGCCCACAUCUAAUUAAAGCUUAUUUUAUUA